CAUGCAGGCAUGAGUAGCGAUAAAAGAGGUGAGAAUCCUCUUCGCCGAAAACCCAAGGUUUCCUACGCGAUGCUCGUCAUCGUAGGGUUAGUCGGGUCCUAAGUCGAGUCCGAAAGGGGUAGACGAUGGCAAAUUGGUUAAUAUUCCAAUACCAACAUAUAAGCGCGAUGUGGGGACGCAUAGAGUUAAUCGAGCUCACUGAUGGAAUAGUGGGUCGAAGGACGUAGGUUGUUACUUAGGCAAAUCCGGGUAACGUUAGACCGAGAUCUUACAGGCCGUUGACGCCCUCCGGGGAAGAUUCGGAAUCGAUGAUACUGUCGUGCCAAGAAAAGCCACUAAGUAUAUUAUAUGUUGCCCGUACCGUAAACCGACACAGG
rnacentral:rRNA from 1 species